rnacentral:lncRNA from 1 species
GAGGAUGAUGAACUGUUUAGCUUUUUUUUUUGUGGUAACUUUUCUUUCUUUGACAGAAUAUUUCUCUCUUUUCCUUGUUAUUUCCCUUCUAAGGUUCCCUUGAAUUUAUAGACGAGUUUUUCAGCGGGAUUUGAAUUACUUUCUUUCCUUUCUGCUGGAAAAUCUUUUCUGUUACAACAGAAGACAAAAGUUGUUGCAAGCUUCCCGUUGUGGUCCCAGCAGUACAGGGGUCGACUCAUGUAACUCAGGGGUCGAC